CCGACGUGAAAGACAUGGGUAGUGAGAUGUUGUCUGUUAAGAUUAGGCUUCGCCCUCCGCGGUGCAGGACCCUUCUUGGCGAGGGACGGACCACGAAGGACAGGUCGCAUCAUCUCACUACCUUGUCUUUGACUAAGGG
rfam:Tropilaelaps mercedesae isolate Wuxi-XJTLT scaffold0000018584, whole genome shotgun sequence.